AAGCUGAUCUCGUUUGCCUGGACACACAGCCCCUGCCUAGGUGCUCAGCAUCAUGGGACUGCUUGCCCAAAUGAUCACUUAUGGUUGGACUUGGGU